GACGAACGCUGGCGGCGUGCUUAACACAUGCAAGUCGAGCGGUAAGGCCCUUUCGGGGGUACACGAGCGGCGAACGGGUGAGUAACACGUGGGUGACCUGCCCUCAGCUCUGGGAUAAGCCUGGGAAACUGGGUCUAAUACCGGAUAUGACUCCAUGACGCAUGUUGUGGGGUGGAAAGCCUUGUGCGGCUGAGGAUGGGCCCGCGGCCUAUCAGCUUGUUGGUGGGGUGANGGCCUACCAAGGCGACGACGGGUAGCCGGCCUGAGAGGGCGACCGGCCACACUGGGACUGAGACACGGCCCAGACUCCUACGGGAGGCAGCAGUGGGGAAUCUUGCGCAAUGGGCGAAAGCCUGACGCAGCGACGCCGCGUGAGGGAUGACGGCCUCGGUUGUAAC
rnacentral:rRNA from 1 species